rnacentral:rRNA from 1 species
ACUGGGUGUAAAGGGAGCGUAGACGGCAGUGCAAGUCUGGAGUGAAAGGCGGGGGCUCAACCCCCGGACUGCUCUGGAAACUGUACAGCUGGAGUGCAGGAGAGGUAAGUGGAAUUCCUAGUGUAGCGGUGAAAUGCGUAGAUAUUAGGAGGAACACCAGUGGCGAAGGCGGCUUACUGGACUGUAACUGACGUUGAGGCUCGAAAGCGUGGGGAGCAAACAGG